rnacentral:rRNA from 1 species
UACGUAGGGUGCGAGCGUUGUCCGGAAUUAUUGGGCGUAAAGAGCUCGUAGGCGGUCUGUCGCGUCGAUCGUCGGAAAACUUGGGGCUUAACCCGUGAGCUUGCGGUCGAUACGGGCAUGACUGGAGUUCGGCAGGGGAGGACUGGAAUUCCUGGUGUAGCGGUGAAAUGCGCAGAUAUCAGGAGGAACACCGGUGGCGAAGGCGGGUCUCUGGGCCGUAACUGACGCUGAGGAGCGAAAGCGUGGGGAGCGAACAGG